GAUUAGAGUUUGAUCAUGGCUCAGAACGAACGCUGGCGGCAUGCCUCAUACAUGCAAGUCGAACGAGAUCUUCGGAUCUAGUGGCGCACGGGUGAGUAACAUGUGGGAAUCUACCUGAAGGUUCGGAAUAACUGCGGGAAACUGUAGCUAAUACCGGAUGUGUCUGCAAAGAGAAAGAUUUAUCGCCUUCAGAUGAGCCCGCACUAGAUUAGCUAGUUGGUGAGGUAAUUGCUCCACCAAGGCUACGAUCUAUAGCUGAUUUGAGAGGAUGAUCAGCCACACUGGGACUGAGACACGGCCCAGACUCCUACGGGAGGCAGCAGUAGGGAAUAUUGGACAAUGGGGGAAACCCUGAUCCAGCAAUGCCGCGUGAGUGAAGAAGGCCUUCGGGUUGUAAAGCUCUUUCAUCAAUGAUGAUAAUGACAUUAGUUGAAGAAGAAGCCCCGGCUAACUUCGUGCCAGCAGCCGCGGUAAUACGAAGGGGGCUAGCGUUGUUCGGAAUCACUGGGCGUAAAGCGUAUGUAGGCGGAUCAAAAAGUUAGAUGUGAAAUCCCUGGGCUCAACCCAGGAACUGCAUUUAAAACUAGUGAUCUAGAAUUUGGUAGGGGUUAGUAGAAUUUCCAGUGUAGAGGUGAAAUUCGUAGAUAUUGGAAAGAAUACCAGUGGCGAAGGCGACUAACUGGGCCAUUUUUGACGCUGAGAUACGAAAGCGUGGGUAGCAAACAGGAUUAGAUACCCUGGUAGUCCACGCAGUAAACGAUGAGUGCUAGUCGCUGGGACAAUAGUUUCAGUGUCGAAGCUAACGCAUUAAGCACUCCGCCUGGGAAGUACGGUCGCAAGAUUAAAACUCAAAUAAAUUGACGGGGGCCCGCACAAGCGGUGGAGCAUGUGGUUUAAUUCGAAGCAACGCGAAGAACCUUACCAGACCUUGACAUGGUAUGUUUGAAUUACAGAAUCGUAAUUCUUCAGUUCGGCUGGCAUACACACAGGUGCUGCAUGGCUGUCGUCAGCUCGUGUCGUGAGAUGUUGGGUUAAGUCCCGCAACGAGCGCAACCCUCAUUUUUAGUUGCCAGCAGGUUAAGCUGGGCACUCUAAAAAAACUGCCGGUGAUAAGCUGGAGGAAGGCGGGGAUGACGUCAAGUCCUCAUGGCCCUUACGGUCUGGGCUACACACGUGCUACAAUGGUGGUGACAGUGGGCAGCAAUACUGCAAAGUAAAGCUAAUCCCAAAAAACCAUCUCAGUUCGGAUUGGACUCUGCAACUCGAGUCCAUGAAGUUGGAAUCGCUAGUAAUCGUAGAUCAGCGUGCUACGGUGAAUACGUUCUCGGGCCUUGUACACACCGCCCGUCACACCAUGGGAGUUGGUUGCACCAGAAGUGGGUAGUUUAACCUUCGGGAGAACGCUUACAACGGUGUGGUCAAUGACUGGGGUGAAGUCGUAACAAGGUACC
rnacentral:rRNA from 1 species